rnacentral:rRNA from 1 species
UACGUAGGGACCGAGCGUUGUCCGGAAUCAUUGGGCGUAAAGAGCGUGUAGGCGGCCACUUAAGUCCUGCGUGAAAUCUUGCGGCUCAACCGCAAGCGGUCGUGGGAAACUGGGUGGCUAGAGUGCGGGAGAGGAGAGUGGAAUUCCUGGUGUAGCGGUGGAAUGCGCAGAUAUCAGGAGGAACACCGGUGGCGAAGGCGGGUCUCUGGGCCGAUACUGACGCUGAGGAGCGAAAGCAUGGGUAGCGAACAGG